rnacentral:lncRNA from 1 species
GACCUUGAACAUAGGUAUACAAACAUUUAAUGAAGGAACAAGUAGUAGUUACCCGAUAGUUGAUGAAGGACGAGAUAUGCUUCUGUUGUGCAGAAUCAGAUGGUGGAUCUUCAGUCUCAGCCCGUCCCAGAGGGUUCUGAACCACUAACUCAGGAUGAGAUAUGCGAGGCAGUUUUGGGUAGACGACUGGGCUACUCAAAAGGCCUUGAUUGGGGCCCAAAACCUAAGUCUAGGACUGCCGCUUCAUCUUCUUCCUCCAAUAUGUAUGACUACCAGACACACAUAGCAGAGGUUAACGACCUCAAAAUGAGACUUGACAACGCUAACCAAAUUCUCGAAGAACAACGCCUGUGGGACGAGGAGCG